GAUCUUUUAGUUUAUAAAAAUACUAGCUUGUGGGGUUAGAGAGAAAGGGGUCA
rnacentral:tRNA from 1 species